rnacentral:rRNA from 1 species
GACGAACGCUGGCGGCGUGCCUAACACAUGCAAGUCGAACGGGGUGAUUUUCUUCGGAGGAUCACUUAGUGGCGAACGGGUGAGUAACGCGUGAGAAACCUGCCUUUCAGUGGGGGACAACAGUUGGAAACGACUGCUAAUACCGCAUAACGUGCACGGAAGGCAUCUUCUGUGUACCAAAGAUUUAUCGCUGAUAGAUGGGCUCGCGUCUGAUUAGAUAGUUGGUGAGGUAACGGCUCACCAAGCCGACGAUCGGUAGCCGGACUGAGAGGUCGAUCGGCCACAUUGGGACUGAGACACGGCCCAGACUCCU